GAGUGGAAAUCUGUGAGCAGAAGCCUGGGUUGGAGUCCUCAAAGUCCUGUUAAAUAAACCCAACAGCAUUCUUCCUGAAAUUGUCCUUCAGGCUUCCCUCUCACAAAAACCACACUGAAGUUUCCUUGGCCACACAAAGAUUCCCAGAAUGAGAGAUCCAGCCUUUCUCCCAUGCUUCUCCUGCAUCACCCAAUGCUGCUUAACAAUCUCUACUGCAGAACAACCAAGAGGGCCUGAAGAUGGAUGGCAAGUUUUGUAGCUACACCCAAGACACCCAGCUCUUUCACUGGGAUUCCAUCAACAGCACACUCAGGAAAAGUCUGACAGCACAGAACAUCACAAGAAAAUACAUCUCAUGAAGAGUGGUAGGUUUAGAGUUAAGCACAAUUUAUUUCUUGUGCCACUGCAAACCAGGAGAGCCUGCUCUGGUGUGCAGCCAGAGAAAGUGACUCCUGAGCUUUAAGUAAAGGCAUGUGCAGAGGGAGAAGUGUAAAUGCAGAGCAAUCCAGUGACAAACAGUACACAGCAUGUUUUUAAUCCUAAAUCAAGAGCUGGAUGCAAAUGAAAAUAGGGAAGGAUAUGAAUUAUCAAGAUCAAUAUGUUGACAUAGGGGUUCUGCAAGAACCUCCCUGUGGCAGAGCAGGGAUGUCUCUGUGACCUGCACAGACUGGAUUAACUGUGCAUUACUGCAGACAGACUUUAUCAAAUAUGGAAUAACCCUUGAAUCUGAAUCUGACUUUCUCAGUCUGCAAUGCUCUACCUUAACACCAGGUCCUUUUGAGGACCUUGAAUAUUAUUCUCUAUACUUGUGGUUUAGUUUUGCUGCAUUUUUAUUUCCCUUUUCUUAAGUGUGGAAAGCAACAGCCAAUUUGUUUCUCCUUGUUCCAUCCCACACACUUGAGGAUGCCCAAUACCUUCCAUUUCAAAAUCCCAAAUAAUGCAGAACACUCCAUGACACGGUUUGGAGAGGUGCUGCUUUUGAUCUGUCUUUCUUAUUUCACUGUAAAAAUCCACUAAAAUUAAUAACUGAAAUUAAUGAAAAGCCACAGAGCAAACAAGAGGACCAUUGAGUUUUGCAUUCUUGAAAUCCUUCCUCUUAACCACAGCCAGCCAACUGCCCAAUCUUAAAAUUAAAAAAAACCAAAACAAACAAACAAACAAAAAAAACCCAAACCACCAACCCAACAAAACCAAUCAUGUCUAUACAUAAAGGAAAUGUUUAAAAUUAUCAGGUCUCAUAGGUCUCAUGCUUUUUAUGCAGAAACCAAGACCAUAUGAACAGACUGCCUUUAGGAGCAACGCUGAUUCUCUUCUGCUACUCUGUUACACUUAGGAUUCCUUUUAUCUGCUCCAGUUUUUUUAAAGUGCCUUUAUCUCACAGUCACAGCGUCAGAAGGGUCACUUCUGCCUCAUUCCUCAUAAUGCACAUGCCCACAAGGAAGAAAUAAUUAUAAGAGAAAAAAGAACAAUAGAGGGAGGCAAUCACAGGACACCAUUGCUUAUUCACAGAACCCAUCUGAAAUACGGCUCCUGUUCAUUCCAGCUACUUGUCUCAGCUUUUCAACACUCUGUAUCCCAACGUUCUGAUGCCUGCAAACUACAAUACAAACAAACACAGGAGUUUCAACUCCUUCAUCAUUAUCAAUCAACAAUUAUUUCAGGAAAUAUGCAGAAGCUGUGACUCAGCUUGGACAUCGAUGGCUGUUCCAUUUCUUAGUCACUGAAUGAGCCUAACACAUGACUCAUCUCAGCUGACACAUUUUCAAUUGGAUCACUGAUAUUCCAGAACUUCAAAAGAAUUAUUCAUCUGGCUUAGUGCUAAUAGCAGCAUAUCCUCCAUCUCCUCCAUUUCUAGUACCAUACUACGAAGUGUACACAUACAGCUUAAGGGGUCUAAACACGUGAUUCAAUUGGUUUUAUCCACAGGGAAUUCAGAGACCACACAGAACUUGUGCUUCUGCUGGUGCACUGGUGUAUACUAUUUAUCAAGCAUGUGCAUAUCCUUCUUAAAAUAAAACUUAUUUUUCUCCAUCAA